rnacentral:rRNA from 1 species
CGAUGCGAUCAUACCAGCACUAAAGCACCGGAUCCCAUCAGAACUCCGAAGUUAAGCGUGCUUGGGCGAGAGUACUACUAGGAUGGGUGACCUCCUGGGAAGUCCUCAUGUUGCAUUCC